rnacentral:ncRNA from 16 species
CUUUGCCUUUUUGUUUCCCAGCCAGCCAGCCGACUUGUAAACCUAACGGCUCCAGCCAUUGACGAAAAGUAUUGGCAUGCUGUUCAGCCAGUAACUCAGUGGGAGCCAUCAACGCGACCUGCUUACCGUGGGCAAUAGCACGCAGUGCGGCCAGUGCGGCAACCAAUGUUUUACCCGAGCCGACAUCUCCUUGAAUCAACCGCAUCAUAGGGAAAUCAUGGGUCAUAUCUUGUUCGAUUUCCGCGACAACCCGCU